CCUACGGGGGGCUGCAGUAAGGAAUAUUGGUCAAUGGACGCAAGUCUGAACCAGCCAUGCCGCGUGAAGGAUGAAGGUCCUCUGGAUUGUAAACUUCUUUUAUAGGGGGCGAAAAAAGGGUUUUCUAACUCACUUGACAGUACCCUAUGAAUAAGCACCGGCUAACUCCGUGCCAGCAGCCGCGGUAAUACGGAGGGUGCAAGCGUUAUCCGGAUUCACUGGGUUUAAAGGGUGCGUAGGCGGAUAGGUAAGUCAGAGGUGAAAUCCUGGAGCUUAACUCCAGAACUGCCUUUGAUACUAUCUAUCUUGAAUAUGGUGGAGGUAAGCGGAAUAUGUCAUGUAGCGGUGAAAUGCAUAGAUAUGACAUAGAACACCUAUUGCGAAGGCAGCUUACUACGCCUAUAUUGACGCUGAGGCACGAAAGCGUGGGGAUCAAACAGGAUUAGAUACCCUUGUAGUC
rnacentral:rRNA from 1 species